rnacentral:tRNA from 1 species
GGCUGAGUGGCGGAAUAGGCAGACGCACGGGACUUAAAAUCCCGAGGGGUGAAUACCCCGUACCGGUUCGAGUCCGGUCUCAGCUA